rnacentral:rRNA from 1 species
ACAGAGUGACAGGUGGUGCAUGGUUGUCGUCAGCUCGUGUCGUGAGAUGUUGGGUUAAGUCCGCAACGAGCGCAACCCUUGAUCUUAGUUGCCAGCAUUUAGUUGGGCACUCUAAGGUGACUGCCGGUGACAAACCGGAGGAAGGUGGGGAUGACGUCAAAUCAUCAUGCCCCUUAUGACCUGGGCUACACACGUGCUACAAUGGAUGGUACAAAGGGCUGCAAGACCACGAGGUCAAGCCAAUCCCAUAAAACCAUUCUCAGUUCGGAUUGUAGGCUGCAACUCGCCUACAUGAAGCUGGAAUCGCUAGUAAUCGCGGAUCAGCAUGCCGCGGUGAAUACGUUCCCGGGCCUUGUACACACCGCCCGUCACACCACGAGAGUUUGUAACACCCGAAGUCGGUGGAGUAACCGUAAGGAGCUAGCCGCCUAAGG